rnacentral:rRNA from 1 species
UGCAAGUCGAGGGGUAUUUGUAGCAAUACAGAGAGACCGGCGCACGGGUGAGUAACGCYUAUGCAACCUGCCCUUUACUGGAGGAUAGCCCGUAGAAAUGCGGAUUAAUACCCCAUAGUAAUGUUGGAUCGCAUGAUCUGGCAUUUAAAGUUUCGGCGGUAAAGGAUGGGCAUGCGUGACAUUAGCUAGUUGGCAGGGUAACGGCCUACCAAGGCUUCGAUGUCUAGGGGUUCUGAGAGGAAGAUCCCCCACACUGGUACUGAGACACGGACCAGACUCCUACGGGAGGCAGCAGUGAGGAAUAUUGGUCAAUGGGCGAGAGCCUGAACCAGCCAUCCCGCGUGCAGGAAGAAUGCCCUAUGGGUUGUAAACUGCUUUUUCGCAUGAAGAACACCUUUGACGUGUCAGAGGCUGACGGUAAUGCGUGAAUAAGCACCGGCUAACUCCGUGCCAGCAGCCGCGGUAAUACGGAGGGUGCAAGCGUUAUCCGGAUUUAUUGGGUUUAAAGGGUGCGUAGGCGRCUAUUUAAGUCAGUGGUGAAAUCCUGCAGCUCAACUGUAGAACAGCCAUUGAAACUGAAUAGCUUGAGUAAUCUUGAGGUAGGCGGAAUGUGUAGUGUAGCGGUGAAAUGCUUAKAUAUUACACAKAACRCCGAUUGCSAASGCAKCUUACUAAGGAUUCACUGACGCUGAUGCACGAWAGCGUGSKGAUCAAACRGGAUUAKAUACCCUGGUAGUCCA